CAGUUAAGAUAUGUUAUCCAAUGUUUUGACUUCAGAAGACCCUCCAUGAAUUUCACAACAUGGCCACUACAAGCAAGAUAAUUGUUUCAUUUGGAGGACAUUCCUUAAUCGUAUGACAUGAAAGUGGGAGAGAACAUUAGCCUGAUCAAAAGACAAGAGUUCUGGUCCAGAGUCCACUAUUUUCCACCUAUAUGACAUUGGAUGAAUCAGUUAACUGGCCCUGAUCCUCAAUUUCUGCAUCUUUCAAGUAAGU